rnacentral:sRNA from 1 species
UAAGUUAUGUGCGGACGACAAAACAAGA